ACUCUAGCGAGAUGCGGUAAUAACCGGAGGAAGUGGGAUGACGUCAAAUCAUCAUGCCCCUUAUGACCUGGGCUACACACGUGCUACAAUGGUUGGUACAACGAGUUGCGAGUCGGUGACGGCGAGCUAAUCUCUUAAAGCCAAUCUCAGUUCGGAUUGUAGGCUGCAACUCGCCUACAUGAAGUCGGAAUCGCUAGUAAUCGCGGAUCAGCACGCCGCGGUGAAUACGUUCCCGGGCCUU
rnacentral:rRNA from 1 species